CGACGCGGUGACGCGGGACAUCAACCACCCAAAGAACCGGGGAAAGAACCCAACCCGACCCCACCCUCCCGGCAACCACCUGGACCUUCCCGGGGCGUCCGCGGGCCUGGUCACCCACACGGGUGAGUUUUCCUAACUCAGCUCGCUUUGGGGCCCGUUGUCCGGCAUAUGCUCACGCCAGACCACAUGCCCCCAUACGUCGGCCCCCGGCCGGGACUCGGAAUCCCGAUCGAGGGCCUGACCACCAAGGAAGUCAGGAGCUUCCCG
rnacentral:ncRNA from 1 species